rnacentral:lncRNA from 1 species
UUAUGUACAUAGUGGACUUAACUCGCCAGUGCGAGUAACUCUGUAUUUUGGAUUUGGACUAUGUAUAUUAAACUCAGUUUGUUUAGCUUUUGUUUUCUCUCGUAGCUCUAUACUACUGUUUGUAGUAUUGUAUAUUUACAGGUACAGCUGUCGCUUCGUGUACAAAGGAAAUUUCUUUAUAUACGGCGGAUUUGUUGGCGUGCCUGGAGAACGAGACAUCCGGGGCGUGACAAAUUGUAAAUUUAUAAAUUAAUUAAUAAUUAAUAAAAUUAUUAAUUAAUUAAUUAUUAAUACUUAUAAAUAAUAAUACAUUAAUUAAUAAUAAAUUAAUUAUAAAUUAAUAAACUAAUUAAUAAUUAAUUAAUUAUAAAUUAAUUAAUAAAUAAAUAAAUUAUUAAUAUAUAUAACAAUAAUAAUUUUAUUAAUAAUUAUAAAUAAUAAAUAAAUAAAUUAUUUUAUUAUUUAAGCUACAAAUAAUUAUUUAAUAUAUUAAUUAGAUUAAUUAAUGCUUUAAUAUCAUAACUAAAUUAAAUUUAGACUUUAAUUAACGUUGUUCCUACCUAUAAACAAGCUUGUUCCAGCAAAAAUGGUGGAACAGCAGUUCUAGUCUUAUGCCAGUUCAUUUCAGAAAUUCGAAAACUACCGUUUUCGGGUACCAAACGCAUCGUUUGGGAACAAAGGAGGAAACAAAGCCUUAUUCUCUAUUGUUUCCGAACCAAACACUGUCUUAUAAAUCGCCUUGAAUAAAUCACAUGGACCACAUUUCAACAGUCACCACUAUCAUUCUAACACUACAAAUUAAUCCUUUAUUUAAGGACCAAAACAUCAUAAACAUCAACUUCUUUUUACUUUCGAAAGAAUAGUAGCUCUCUUUCUCUAUAUAUAUAUAUAUAUACACACACACUUAUUGUUGACACACAGUGUACUUGUAAGUUUCCUGUACAGUACGCAUACAGGAUUAGCAUGUAUUACCAAUGGAAAACCAAUUCUGGCCACCAACCUUGAUAUUUCGUCACUACACACCAUGUAUAAGAUAGAGGACAAGCUUUUCUGUUCAAUCUGCACGUUUAGAACAACUAAAAAUGUUGUUGUUACCGACCGUCCCUAGCGCAAGUGACAAAAGGAUUUGGUGGUUGAUACCUGAGAACCAAGUUUGAGUCCUAAUUGAUUCACAUUUCCAGCUAAGUUUAUUUCUAAAUAAAAUAAACGAAACGGAUAGCAUGCUAUCUUUCUCUCAAAAUAAAAAAUGUUGUCAUUCAUUAUUUUCAUAAGAUCACACCCACAUACCAC